UUUAAUUCUUUGUUGGAUAUCUCAACUCUUUAAAAGAAGAUGAUCCUUCUCCUAGAUAGAUAGAGGAAAAUAUAGUGGGGAAAAAAAUAAGUUUAUGCCUUCUCCUUAGUUCUUCCUUCUUGCUUGGUGAUAAUUUUUCUACACACGAUAAAGUUUGCUUCAGAGUUUUGUUGUAUCCUGGGAGACAAUUUGUCCUGCCACGGCCAAAUAUUAUCUUAAAAAAAUUGUUCUUACAGUCCUCAAAGCUACAAUUUUCUAGUAUGUUCAACGUCCAUUGUAUUAAGGUUAAAUUUGUUUUAUUUUAUUUUGAGUUUUAUUUUAAUAUCAAUAUAGAAUUCUUUUCCGAAUUUUAUUGUAUUUCUGCUUCUGCAAAAAAAUUAUUACUAACGUGGCUAACAAGAGAUACCUUAAAUCGAUCUUAAAUUCUGCCUUGCAGCUUCAGCCUCUUGAUUUCAGACUUUUAGUUUGUCUGAUGAGUUUAGCAACUCAUGAAUUAAAUAGAUAUAUUAAAUAGAUUAAAAGAACUUAAAUGAAAUUAAAUUGAAACACAAGUGUUUCUUAAAUAAGAACUUCUAUUAAACUGAGAAAAUAGAAUACAAGGGUGAGAGAGAUACAAGAGUAUGAG
rnacentral:lncRNA from 1 species